GGUAAUAUGAGCCAUCCAUUCUUGCUUCUCUGUUGGAGUGGCAGCAUAAACAGCAAACGACUUUGUUACUGUUUUUAUGAGCCAACCAUUGCGAUACUCUAUAAAUAAUAAUAAAAUAUUACACUAUCCUUGGUACCAGAUAUUAAAAAUAGAGAAUAAAAGUGAAGGAUUAUGAUUUUAUCAUACAUUUGUGAAAAAUCUAUUAAAAAAUGAAGAAUAUGAUCUGAUCAACAAUGAAAAUACAUAUAACUUACGACCAUCAUCAGCUAAAGACUCAAGUUUGACCUGUUCAAGUGGUAUUAUGUGUUGCUUGUUAUACUGUUAACACACAUAAUAUAAAAUUGUUUAUUAUAAUUGAAUAAAUUACAAACAAAA